rnacentral:tRNA from 2 species
GCGGGAGUAACUCAGUUGGCAGAGUGUCUGCUUCCCAAGCAGAAUGUCGAGGGUUCGAGCCCCUUCUCCCGCUCCA